GGGGACAUGCCGGGAGUUGCAGUCCCCUCAGGAAAGUAGCGUCUUGAUCUGUGUGGCGUGGUUCUGUGCCUUGGGAAGAGAUGAAUGGGAAGCGGCCAGCGGAGCCCGGCGCAGCCCGGGUGGGAAAAAAGGGAAAGAAGGAGGUGAUGGCGGAGUUUUCGGACGCUGUUACGGAAGAAACCUUGAAAAAGCAGGUGGCUGAGGCCUGGAGCCGCAGGACGCCGUUCAGUCACGAAGUCAUUGUCAUGGACAUGGACCCUUUUCUUCACUGUGUGAUCCCAAACUUCAUCCAAAGCCAAGACUUCUUAGAAGGGCUUCAGAAGGAACUGAUGAACUUGGACUUCCAUGAGAAGUAUAAUGAUUUAUAUAAGUUCCAGCAGUCUGAUGAUUUGAAGAAGAGAAGAGAGCCUCACAUCUCCACUUUAAGGUAAACAAGUAAUCAUAUUUGUUGGGUGCUAAUAUGUGCCAGGCAGAGUAGUAAGUGCUUUAAAUGUUACAACAUUGUGUAUGUCAUAUAAUUCUUGUUGACAUUGUUAACCCACUUUGUAGAGGAGGAAAGAGACCGAGAAAUUGAGUUUGCAUAGCUUAAAAUUAAGGGAGCUAGCAUACAAACCUAAGUCUGUCUGAUUCCAAGGCCCAAGUUCUCAGUGAUAAAAUGCUCAAUCUUGUUAGUAAUCAAGGAAACAGAAGUUAACACUGGAGAUACCAUUUUUCACGUUAGGUUGGUAAAUA
rnacentral:sRNA from 1 species